rnacentral:snoRNA from 1 species
AUGCAUCUAUAUGACAGACCUGGAGUAGUUACUGUGUGCUGCUAAGGUUUCUACCUCUAGAUGCAAGAAAGGGUACCCUUGUGCUUUCUGUUUGUCUAGUUGUGCAAGAUUGAAUGAGGAAUAUAGGG